AGACGCCGCUGCUCGUCUCGCCAUGGACCUCUCGCCGAUACUAAACACCCUUCGCUGCCGAAUCGUCUACGCCCGCUACAGUGCGACGAGCUCGUGCUCCAGGAAAGAUCCUCCGUCGCCUUCCUUAGGGUUUCGAGCUCGAUUCUUCUCCUCUGUUCUUCAGACCUUUAAUGAUCGCUCAUCAGGAACGGCGCGAAGUUUUUGUGGAAGUCGAUGCCCCGAGAGAUGAAGGAGAUCAGACCGGAGCUCGUCGCCGCUUGGAAGAUCGGACAGUGCCUCUAGACUCGGGAUUAUGCCGGGGUUUAUGAUGCAAUCCAUGGCUUUGAGUGGAGCCCCGAAAUCGCUGGCUUGGUCAUCGCCUUCUCAGAUGAAUACUGGAGCAAAGGAUGAAUCAAGUGUUGUGUCACUGAAGUGUUUCACAAAGCUGUCCGAAGCCGCUUGCAAUCUGGUUUCUCUGUUUUGGUACAUGACUCACCCAUUUACUGAGCAUCAUGAAUAAUUAUUGCAACCCUCUGAAAACCCAUAUUGCCCGACUUUGAUUU